AGAUGCCUUGCUCCUACGAGAGUAAACGUGCACUGAUUUGGGACAGUGGAAGAGAAUAAUGUUCACAAGGCCAUACACUUUUACCCUGAGAAGAGUUG
rnacentral:pre_miRNA from 12 species